rnacentral:lncRNA from 1 species
GUGAACCAGGCCAACCUUCAGCUCUUCUGGAACAUGUACAAUAGGUAUGGGUAUGAACAGAGCGGGUUCAGGACACGAUGGUUUACCAGUCGACAGUGUUGGGAUCCGCCCCUGGGAUACCCUCUUUACCUUCGCCCCUCCCCUACAGCCGCAGAGAUCUUGACAUUAACCGGCCUGGGACAGUGCCCAAUGCCAAGACACUCCGGUGAGUGACUCCUGCCCUCCGGCCAGUCCCUCCCUGCCUUUGCCCCAGACCCAGGCCAGACCCUUGUCCUCUGUCUCCUAGCUGCCCAGUGAUGCUGGUGGUCGGUGACAAUGCACCUGCUGAGGACGGGGUGGUUGAGUGUAACUCCAAACUGGACCCAACCACUACAACCUUCCUGAAGAUGGCAGACUCUGGUGGUCUUCCUCAGGUGACCCAGCCAGGGAAGCUGACU